CGCGUAGGCGGACUAUUAAGUCAGGGGUGAAAUCCCGGGCUCAACCCCGGAACUGCCUUUGAUACUGGUAGUCUUGAGGUCGAGAGAGGUGAGUGGAAUUCCGAGUGUAGAGGUGAAAUUCGUAGAUAUUCGGAGGAACACCAGUGGCGAAGGCGGCUCACUGGCUCGAUACUGACGCUGAGGUGCGAAAGUGUGGGGAGCAAAACA
rnacentral:rRNA from 1 species